UAAAUUUAUUAUAGACAAUAUGUCAUGGUUAUCAUUGUUUAGAUCCUACGAAAAUUGUAGAGCUAUUAUUCAUUAAAACUUCUGUUACAAGUGAUGAUUGUUUGUCAAGACAUCUUGUAUACUGUUUGUUUUGUGAUAAUAUUACAACUUAUGUGUUCAUUAAUAAUGAGAUAUACAGAUGAUGUACAUGGUGUAUCUAUGAAAUUUUAAGAUUGGAUUAAUUUGGUCACUGUCUCUUGACCCGUAUGAAGAUUAUCAUGCAGGUGCAUCAAAAUAAAUUAUAAAUAUUAUUAAUAUUCUUUAGUCUGUGCAAAUUAAAAGUAUAAAAUAUGAACAAUUCUCAAGAUGUUGUUAAUCUAAAAGAAAUAAUGGAACUUGGAGAAUUGUUACAUCGAAAUGGAGAUAAAAUAUUGAGUGCUUCAAGCAAAUUGUCUUUGUCAUCUACAUUAUUAUAUAAUUUAAAUGAGGCCUUUUUCUUAAUCGUUGAUGAACCUGAAGAUUUAGAGGCCUCGUUUCAAGUAUGCAAUAGCUCAAAAAUCGCCAUAUUCCGUGAUUUGAAAUUUUUACAUGACUUUGUACAAAAGACAGUUGGAUUAAAAGUGACUUAUUGUUCAAAAAGUCCUAAUGUUCCUAUUGAUAUUACAAAAUUUAGGCAUUUAAAAUAUCUGGAACUGAAGAAAAUUAAUAUAGAUUUAGUGAAAGGACUUCAAGGCAUUAGAGGUCAACUUGAAACUGUUAUCUGUACGGGUCAAAAAGGAGUUUGUACCGUAAAACAGUUACUGGCUGCUUGUGGUGGAGAUGCAGGUAUUGGAUUUGUAUGGGAAUCUUUAAAACAUUUAGCAUUAUCUCAUAAUGCUCUUGAAAGGUUGGAUACAUCUUUGGAAUUAGCACCUUGGUUGCAAAUAAUAGAUCUGAGUCAUAACUUUAUAACAUCUGCAGAAGAGUUAUCGUGUUUACCUAACUUAAAAUAUGUGAAUCUUGGGUAUAAUAAACUUGAAACAGUACCUACUUUUAAUAAAGCUGCCUUGCAUCAUUUACAAGUUCUAAUCUUGAAAAAUAAUUACAUAGAAAAUCUAAAUGGUUUACAAAAUUUAGAAAGUUUAACAGAAUUAGAUUUAUCGUACAAUUGUUUGAUGGAACAUUUGACUUUGUGGCCUUUGGAAAAAAUGUCAGCUUUGUUAUGGAUAUCUGUGGAAGGGAACCCAAUAUCAUACCAUCCAAAACAUAGACGAUUAUCUAUAAAAUAUUUACAUCCAUGUUUACGGGAUAGCAAGUUUGUUUUAGAUCGUUUGCCUCUUUCGAAAUCAGAGAAGCAACUCAUUGCAGAAAAUCGUUUUUUCACUAUUAGAUCUAAACAGUCUGCAUCAAAUGAGAUUCUUACUUCAGUAACAAACUCUGUCAGUUCCAACAAUCUAUCUACAUCCGUUAAUGUAUCUACCAGUAAUGAAAUUGUAGCAGGAAGAUCUAUAGAUUAUACAAAUAACAUAGAAAGAAGUUUAUCUAAGAGCAGAAAAAAAUUAAAUGUGAAAGAAGCUGUUAUUGUAGAAGAUGAGCAAGGGAAAAAGGAAUUAAAUGUAAAUUCCAAUAUUUGUAAUUCCUAUUUAGAAACUUCAAAGGAUCAUUUAGAAAUAAAAAAGCAAAUUUUAGCAGUUCGAAAAAAGUAUGAAGAUAACUGGUUAAGUAGUUCUGCUGGAACAUUUGUUCAAGAUAUCAUGGGUUUACAAGUUUCGUCGCGUUCUGUAUUAACACCGGAAUCUACAGUAACAAAUUUAGAUGAUACAAGUAAUGUAUCAAAUAUUCAAGAUCCUACGAUUUUAUUAAUCAGUAAUGCACAAACUGAUACAGAAAAAGGAUCGGAAACUAAAGAGAAUGAUGUGAUUAAUAAUGAAGAAGAAAAUGAAACUAAGGUAUUGAAUGAAGAAGAGAAUGUUUUUGAAGAUUUUAAGGAUUCGAUAAGUACUCGCGUAGAUAUAUCUGAACCUCUUUAUGACUCCGAAGAAGAAAAGGCGGACUUAUAUUUGGUACAAAAGAAGAAAAAUGAUAAUGAAUUAGAAGAUUUAUUCUUAAUAAUAACGUUAAAUGAUAUUAAAGAAAGAGAUGCGCUUUCCGGCAAAUUAAAGUAUUGUUGGUCAACGAAUUCUGUAUUGUCUUGCGUACUAGGUAGAAGUGAACCAGUCACGGUAGACAUAAUUUUUGAUACAACUCGAGAAGAACGUCGAAACAGGAGAUAUUAUGUAGAGCCAGAUGCUGCAAAGAAAAUAGUGAAAACAAUUGGUGAAAGAAUGAAAAAACGACCUAUAUCAUUGAAAGUUUUUAAAUGUAUGAAAUGUUCAACUCAUUUUUCUCAGGAUACGGAAUAUGUCACUGUAAUAAGUUCAUCUGUAUCAAGUGUAAAACAAUUGAAAUGUCCAACUUGUGAAAGUACCCUAGUCAUAGAAACAGAUGAAUUAUCAACUUUAGAUGCAGAAAGUGAUAUUUCCGAAGAUUCAUCUGAAUGUCUGAUUAAAGAUCAGCAUUCCGAAAACAUUGUGAAAACUAAUCUACAACAUUCUGAGUCUUUUUCCAGCAUUGGUGCAGGUGGAACGGAGGGUGGAGCUAUAUCCGUCACCACUUCUCUGGUACACUCCGACUUUCACAUCCAAGCUCAAGUCUGCUGUUCAGCAACCAGUUUGGAAGAAUCACGAGAAUCUACACCAUCUACAAAUACAUUGAACAAGAAAUAUGAAAGCGAUAUUGAAAUACUCAGCAACCCCAGUCAAAGUAGUAUUGAAGUUUUAGAUGAAGCAUCAAGAAUUCAUCUGACACCACAUAGAAAGUAUUCUUCAGAAGAAAGACGUACCGCAGUUGCUCCGUCUCUUUUAACGAUACCAGAUACAGUGCCAAUUAUGACUGGUUUAACCGAAAGUAGUUCUUCAGGUUCUUUAACGGAUAGUAUUUGUACCGCGUACGAAAAUAAGGUAAUUAAGCAAGCGAUCGUAGACGAAAAAUCCCUUAAUAACAGCACUGACAAAGAGAUGAAAUUUACACCUGUAACAAAUUUAACUUCUAUGCUAGGUGGUUUACUUCAAAGCAUAAAGAUUGGUAGUAAUAAAUCAUUAACAUCAAAAGAAGAGGAAGCAUCAAAUUUCUUAGGCAGUAACAUCCAAUAUUCUUAUACGGAUUUCGGCAGUAUAGAUCAUAGAAUAAAGUUGCAUAUUAUUUUGAACAUAUUUGAGCACGAAAACGAGGGACUUAUUCUUCUUCUUAGGGCUGAAAUUCUUAUGCAUAACAUGAAAGAUACAUUUCCUGGUUGUUUAGUUUUAUCCACAUCAAAGGUUUAUGUUCUUAAAAUUGACGGAUUCGAGGGAGAGGAUCCUCAACGUUGGUUACACAAAGAGAUCAGUUGGACAAUGGAUAGAUUAAGAUGUUUUGCACCGCUACCAUUUAAACAGGGGGUUUUGAUUGAAUUAGAACAACCUACAAAAUCAAACGAUGAAUCAUAUUCUACGAUUACGUUUUUAUGCGUUCUACAGGAUUUUCAGAGAACAUCUAAUUUUCUAUUUUAUAUUACUGAUUUGUCGUUACCACCCAGUUGUGAAGUGGAAUUCACGGUACCAGAACACUGUACUACUUUCAUGCACUGUUUAUUAAAAAAUUGUAAGAAUUAUCAAGAUGGGGACACUGUGAGACUGCUUGCACUAUUUUCUUCUGCCUUAUUAAAAUAUCAAGAUCUUAAGGUUGAACUGAAAUUAUCUAGUUUGAUAGUAACUGCAUCUGUUUUGGUAGUAUGCAAUAUGCAGUGGCUCUUACCUGGUAAUAAUGAAAUGCCACAUAUAAUAAGGGAACAAGCUAUGAGCAACUUAAUCGGGAUAGAACAUUACGGUUCGACAUUGACCCUAAACUUCUUAGAUGAGUUAAUGGGACAAGAAGAAUCAUGGGUUUUAGAUUUUAUUUCUGCGAGUGCCGCUGAAACGGUUAUCAAUUCUGUACAACCACCCUGGGAAGAAUUAUUCUCGAUUCCAUUACAAAUCACAACUUGCAAGUCACAAAAAGCCGAAAACGUGUAAAAUGAUAUAUUGUAUACAGAAAAGGAUAUUCUAGUCAAACAUAUGCACCAGCAAGUGUUACAUAUGAAGUAAACAGUUGACAUACGUAUUAAUACAGUUCUAAUAGAGGCAAAAUACAGAAAAAUGUGUACUCAAGAUAUUUUGCAUUGAUGAUAAUAAAGGAUACAAUAUGUAAAUGAAACAGUUGGAAGAUGCUGAAAAUAACUUCUUAGUAUGUUUCUUAAAUGCAUACAUGAAGUAUGCAUCCUAAGUACAUGUUAUUGUUCCAGUGAAUUCUACUUAUUCGU
rnacentral:misc_RNA from 1 species